UUAUAUUGUUGUUCUAUUAUUUACUAUAAUAGUUUAAUUUAAGUUUAAUACUUUAUUUUAUUGUUAUUUUACAUGUAAAAUUUAUUUUAAAAUGUUUUUUCAGUUUUUAUUAUUAAUAUUAAUAUUUAUGUAUUUUUAGUAAUUAAUUUUAUUUCUAAUAAAAUUUGUGCCAGCAAUUGCGGUUAUACAAAUAGUGUAAUUAAAAUUUAUUAAAAAAUGGUUAUUUUUUUUUAUUAUUUUUUUAUUAAUAUUUUUAGGUUAAAUUUAAAUUUUAAUAUAAUUUUUAUAAGAUAUUAUGAUUCCGUUAGUUUUUUUAUUAAACUAGGAUUAGAUACCCUAUUAUUAUAAAAGUAAAUAUUUAUAUUUAAUUAUUAAAAGUUAUGUUCUUUAAAAUUAAAAAAUUUGGCAGUAUUUUAGUCUAUUUAGAGGAACCUGUUUUUUAAUUGAUAAUACACGAUUUAAUUUACUUUAAUUAUUAGUUUAUAUAUCGUUGUUAUUAGAAAAUUUUAUUAGAAAUAAUUUUCAAUUUUUUUUAUAAUAUUAUUUUUCAGAUCAAGGUGUAGUUUAUAUUAAAGAUUAAAUUGGUUACAAUAAAUUUAUUUUUGGUUUAGAAUUUUUAAUAUUUUUAUUAAAUUGGAUUUAAAAGUAAUAGUUUUUUAUUAAAAAUUAUGAUUUUAGCUCUAUAAUAUGUACAUAUUGCCCGUCGCUUUCAUUAGUGAAAUAAGUCGUAACAAAGUAGAUGUACUGGAAAGUGUAUCUAGAAAGU
rnacentral:ncRNA from 1 species